rnacentral:rRNA from 1 species
AGUGAACGCUGGCGGUAGGCCUAACACAUGCAAGUCGAACGGCAGCACAGUAAGAGCUUGCUCUUACGGGUGGCGAGUGGCGGACGGGUGAGGAAUACAUCGGAAUCUACUUUUUCGUGGGGGAUAACGUAGGGAAACUUACGCUAAUACCGCAUACGACCUACGGGUGAAAGCAGGGGAUCUUCGGACCUUGCGCGAUUGAAUGAGCCGAUGUCGGAUUAGCUAGUUGGCGGGGUAAAGGCCCACCAAGGCGACGAUCCGUAGCUGGUCUGAGAGGAUGAUCAGCCACACUGGAACUGAGACAUGGUCCAGACUCCUACGGGAGGCAGCAGUGGGGAAUAUUGGACAAUGGGCGCAAGCCUGAUCCAGCCAUACCGCGUGGGUGAAGAAGGCCUUGGGGUUGUAAAGCCCUUUUGUUGGGAAAGAAAAGCAGCAGGUUAAUACCCCGCUGUUCUGACGGUACCCAAAGAAUAAGCACCGGCUAACUUCGUG